GACGAACGCUGGCGGCGUGCCUAAUACAUGCAAGUAGGACGCAGUUGCGAACGGGUGAGUAACGCGUAGGUAACUACCUAUUAGAGGGGGAUAACUAUUGGAAACGAUAGCUAAUACCGCAUACUAGUAGAUGGACCUGCGUUGUAUUAGCUAGUAGGUAGGGUAAUGGCCUACCUAGGCAACGAUACAUAGCCGACCUGGAGAGGUGAAGGGCCAAACUGGGACUUGUACACGGCCCAGAAUCCUUCGGGGGGCAACAGUAGGGAAUCUUCGGGAAUUGGGGGAACCCUGACCGAGCAACGCCGCGUGAGUGAAGAAGGUUUUCGGAGCGUAAAGCUCUGUUGUUAAGGAAGCGGUACUUAACCAGAAAGGGACGGCUAACUACGUGCCAGCAGCCGCGGUAAUAC
rnacentral:rRNA from 1 species